rnacentral:rRNA from 1 species
UACAGAGGGUGCAAGCGUUAAUCGGAGUUACUGGGCGUAAAGGGCGCGUAGGUUGCUGCAUAAGUUAGACGUGAAAUCCCUGGGCUCAACCUAGGAAUGGCGUUUAAGACUGUGCAGCUGGAGUACAGUAGAGGGCGGCAGAAUUUCCGGUGUAGCGGUGAAAUGCGUAGAGAUCGGAAGGAACACCGGUGGCGAAGGCGGCCGCCUGGACUGAUACUGACACUGAGGCGCGAGAGCGUGGGGAGCAAACAGG